rnacentral:rRNA from 1 species
GAUGAACGCUAGCUACAGGCUUAACACAUGCCAGUCGAGGGGCAGCGGUAUCGAAAGCUUGCUUUCGGUAGCCGGCGACCGGCGCACGGGUGAGUAACGCGUAUCGAACCUGCCUCAUACUCGGGAAUAGCCUUGCGAAAGUAAGAUUAAUGCCCGGUGUUUUCAGAGUCCCGCAUGAGGCUUUGAACAAAGAUUUAUCGGUAUGAGAUGGCGAUGCGUCCCAUUAGCUUGUUGGCGGGGUAACGGCCCACCAAGGCAUCGAUGGGUAGGGGUUCUGAGAGGAAGGUCCCCCACAUUGGAACUGAGACACGGUCCAAACUCCUACGGGAGGCAGCAGUGAGGAAUAUUGGUCAAUGGGCGGAAGCCUGAACCAGCCAAGUAGCGUGCAGGAAGACGGCCCUCCGGGUUGUAAACUGCUUUUAGUGGGGAAUAAAACGGGGCUCGUGAGCCCCCUUGCAUGUACCAUCAGAAAAAGGACCGGCUAAUUCCGUG